rnacentral:rRNA from 1 species
UACGAAGGGGGCUAGGGUUGUUCGGAUUUACUGGGCGUAAAGCGCACGUAGGCGGGUCGUUAAGUCAGGGGUGAAAUCCCGGAGCUCAACUCCGGAACUGCCUUUGAUACUGGCGACCUUAAGGCUGGAAGAGGUUAGUGGAAUUCCCAGUGUAGAGGUGAAAUUCGUAGAUAUUGGGAAGAACACCAGUGGCGAAGGCGGCUAACUGGUCCAGAUCUGACGCUGAGGUGCGAAAGCGUGGGGAGCAAACAGG